AUGCACAAAGGUAGAUUUAAAACUACUCAAGAUCGGUUGCGGAAGAGGCUUGUGGAUUGGAGCGAACAGUAUAUGUCCUCGGGCAAUAAAGAGGUUCUCAUCAAAGCCGUUGCCCAGGUCAUUCCUACUUAUGUGAUGAGCGUGUUCAAGCUUCCAGCAUCGGUUUGCGACGAACUCACGCGUAUGAUCCGCCAAUAUUGGUGGGGUGUUGAGAAGGGAAAAAGGAAGAUGGCAUGGAUGAGUUGGGAUAAGCUGAGGCUCCCUAAGUCCAUGGGGGGCAUGGGUUUCCGUGACACGAGAUCGUUUAACCAAGCCUUGUUAGCCAAACAAGCGUGGAGGCUUCUGGAUUCUCCCGAAAGCUUAUGCUCAAGAUUGUUAAAGGCUAAGUACUUCCCACAUGGCCAGUUAUUGGACACUGUUUUCCCCAAUAGUGGUUCGAAGGUGUGGAAGGGAAUUCUACACGGGCUUGAGCUGGUUAAGAAAGGGACAAUUUGGCGUGUGGGAGAUGGUGCAUCGAUUCGUACGUGGAGGGAUCCUUGGAUCCCGAGACCUGACUCGUUCAGACCAAUUACUCCCAAAGGUAACUGCCGACUAAACCGUGUGUCGGAUUUCCUGGAUAUAAACGGGGCUUGGCGUGUGGACAGACUGAAUGAGUCUUUCUGGCCUAUGGAUGUGGUGCAUAUCCUGAAGAUUAGAACACCCCCCCGGCAGCGCAGUGAUUUUCUGUCCUGGUUCCCGGAAAAAAGCGGUCUAUUUUCGGUAAGGAGUGCUUACAGACUUGCAACCUAG
rnacentral:rRNA from 1 species